rnacentral:rRNA from 1 species
GGGAAACCGAGUCUUAACUGGGCGAAUGAGUUGCAGGGUAUAGACCCGAAACCCGGUGAUCUAUCCAUGGGCAGGUUGAAGGUUGGGUAACACUAACUGGAGGACCGAACCGACUAAUGUUGAAAAAUUAGCGGAUGACUUGUGGAUGGGGGUGAAAGGCCAAUCAAACCGGGAGAUAGCUGGUUCUCCCCGAAAGCUAUUUAGGUAGCGCCUCGUGAACUCAUCUUCGGGGGUAGAGCACUGUUUCGACUAGGGGGUCAUCCCGACUUACCAACUCGAUGCAAACUGCGAAUACCGAAGAAUGUUAUCACGGGAGACACACGGCGGGUGCUAACGUCCGUCGUGAAGAGGGAAACAACCCAGACCGCCAGCUAAGGUCCCAAAGUCAUGGUUAAGUGGGAAACGAAGUGGGAAGGCUCAGACAGCCAGGAUGUUGGCUUAGAAGCAGCCAUCAUUUAAAGAAAGCGUAAUAGCUCACUGGUCGAGUCGGCCCGCGCGGAAGAUGUAACGGGGCUAAACCAUGCACCGAAGCUGCGGCAGCGACACAUAGUGUUGUUGGGUAGGGGAGCGUUCUGUAAGCCUGCGAAGGUGUACUGUGAGGUAUGCUGGAGGUAUCAGAAGUGCGAAUGCUGACAUAAGUAACGAUAAUGCGGGUGAAAAACCCGCAC